AGGAUGAACGCUGGCGGCGUGCUUAACACAUGCAAGUCGAACGAUGAAGCCGGAGCUUGCUCUGGUGGAUUAGUGGCGAACGGGUGAGUAACACGUGAGUAACCUGCCCUUGACUCUGGGAUAAGCGUUGGAAACGACGUCUAAUACCGGAUGCGACGCGCGAAGGCAUCUUCUGCGCGUGGAAAGAAUUUCGGUCAAGGAUGGACUCGCGGCCUAUCAGCUAGUUGGUGAGGUAACGGCCCACCAAGGCGACGAC
rnacentral:rRNA from 1 species